rnacentral:rRNA from 1 species
CAGUCGCCGCGGUAAUACGAAGGGUGCAAGCGUUACUCGGAAUUACUGGGCGUAAAGCGUGCGUAGGUGGUUGUUUAAGUCUGCUGUGAAAGCCCUGGGCUCAACCUGGGAAUUGCAGUGGAUACUGGGCAACUAGAGUAAGGUAGAGGAUAGUGGAAUUUCCGGUGUAGCAGUGAAAUGCGUAGAGAUCGGAAGGAGCAUCUGUGGCGAAGGCGACUAUCUGGGCCAUUACUGACACUGAGGCACGAAAGCGUGGGGAGCAAACAGGAUUAGAUACCCCCGUAGUCCCUGUCUCUUAUAC